AGGCUGCGCAUUCUCUUCGACUAAGUAUCCAAUUAGGGUGCUACAGCCUUACUCGUUGUUGACUUUUCGGCCACGUUCUAAUUCUUGGAGUAGGGUUGUUUUGGAUCGCAGCCCAAAGUAGGUGGUAUACUUCAUCUAAAGCUAAAUACGACUACGAAUCCGAUAGCAAACAAGUACCGUGAGGGAAAGUUGCAAAGUACUUUGAAGAGAGAGUUCAAGAGGACGUGAAACCGGUAGGGUGGAAGCAGAUAAAGUUGACGAACGUGUGUCGUAUUCAGAACUACAAUUUGUGGUUUGUUUUUACGAUCGAUGUGGGCUGGCGUCUUUGGUUAACUUAGUGUCUGGCGGCAAUGGUGACCCUGCGGAGGGAUAAUCGGUUGUCGUGCGAUGCUUGGUAUGGCUAGAGGUUCGCUGGUCUUAUAGUCAUCGCUUUAUCUGACCCGUCUUGAAACACGGACCAAGGAGUGUAGCGCUUACGCGAGUCUUAGAGUGUGUCAAAACUUUGAGGCGUAACGAAAGUAAAUGUGGAUUUAUUCACUGACUUGGGAUGCGUUGUCUUUUUUGGAUUCCGUUGGACCAUGGUUUUAUAGUAAUCGCAUUUGGGGCG
rnacentral:rRNA from 1 species